rnacentral:rRNA from 1 species
UUGCCAGCCCGCUCAAGAAACUCAAAUGAAUUGACGGGGGCCCGCACAAGCGGUGGAGUAUGUGGUUUAAUUCGAUGCAACGCGAAGAACCUUACCUGGUCUUGACAUCCCGGAGACCCUUAGGAAACUAGGGGGUGCUUCCAUCUGGAAGAAUCUGGAGACAGGUGCUGCAUGGCUGUCGUCAGCUCGUGUCGUGAGAUGUUGGGUUAAGUCCCGCAACGAGCGCAACCCUUGCCUUUAGUUGCCAGCAGUUCGGCUGGGCACUCUAAAGGGACUGCCGGUGUUAAACCGGAGGAAGGUGGGGAUGACGUCAAGUCCUCAUGGCCUUUAUGACCAGGGCUACACACGUACUACAAUGGCCGAUACAAAGGGCAGCGACACUGCGAGGUGAAGCCAAUCCCGUAAAAUCGGUCUCAGUCCGGAUUGGAGUCUGCAACUCGACUCCAUGAAGUUGGAAUCGCUAGUAAUCGUGGAUCAGCAUGCCACGGUGAAUACGUUCCCGGGCCUU